rnacentral:lncRNA from 1 species
CUUACAGAAAAAAAACUGUUCAAGGACAGAGUAGAUUUUUUAAAAUAACUUCCUUUUCUCACCAGGUAAUCAUUCAGGGCUUUCGAAGCUACAGGGACCAAACCAUUGUGGACCCAUUCAGCUCCAAACACAAUGUCAUUGUGGGAAGAAAUGGAUCUGGCAAAAGCAACUUUUUUUAUGCAAUUCAGUUUGUCCUCAGUGAUGAGUUUAGUCAUCUUCGCCCAGAGCAGAGACUGGCUUUAUUGCAUGAAGGUACAGGUCCUCGUGUUAUUUCGGCAUUUGUGGAGAUUAUAUUUGACAAUUCCGACAACAGGUUACCGAUUGAUAAAGAGGAAGUCUCACUUCGCAGAGUCAUUGGAGCCAAGAAGGACC